UACGGAGGGUGCAAGCGUUAUCCGGAUUUACUGGGCGUAAAGGGCGCGUAGGCGGCGCAACAAGUCACUUGUGAAAUCUCCGGGCUUAACCCGGAGCGGUCAAGUGAUACUGUCGUGCUAGAGUGCGGAAGGGGCUACUGGAAUUCUCGGUGUAGCGGUGAAAUGCGUAGAUAUCGAGAGGAACACCUGCGGCGAAGGCGGGUAGCUGGGCCGACACUGACGCUGAUGCGCGAAAGCCAGGGGAGCGAACGGG
rnacentral:rRNA from 1 species